rnacentral:lncRNA from 1 species
GCGGCCAUUGUGGCCAAGCAGGUACUGCUGGGCUGGAAGGUGGUGAUCAUGUGUUGCGAGGGCAUCCACAUUUCUGGCAAUUUCUACAGAAACAAGUUAAAGUACCUGGCCUUCCUCUGCAAGUAGAUGAACACCAAUCCUUUCUGAGGACCCUACCAUUUCCAAGCCCCCAGCCACCUCUUUUGGUGGACCAUGUGAAGCAUGCUGCCCCACAAGACCAAGUGAGGCCAGGCUGCUUUGGACCACCUCAAGAUGUUUGAUGGGAUCCCACUCCCCUAUGACAAAAAGUGGACUGUGGUUCCUGCUGCCCUCAAGGUUGUGUGCCUGAAGCCUGUGAGAAAGUUUGCCUACCUGGGGCUCCUGGCUCAUGGUGUUGGCUGGAAGUACCAGGCAGUGACAGCCACCAUGGAGAAGAAGAGAAAGAAGAAAGCUAAGAUCCACUACUGGAAGAAAAGACAGCUCAUGAGUCUAUAGAAACAGGCCAAAAGAACAUGGAGAAGAAAACUGACAAAUACAUAGAGGUCCUCAAGAGCCAUGGACUCCUGG